rnacentral:rRNA from 1 species
AGCUGAUGCAGCGACGCCGCGUGAGGGAUGAGGCCUUCGGGUUGUAAACCUCUUUCGCUCAUGGUCAAGCCGCAACUUUGGGUUGUGGUGAGGGUAGUGGGUAAAGAAGCACCGGCUAACUACGUGCCAGCAGCCGCGGUAAUACGUAGGGUGCGAGCGUUGUCCGGAAUUAUUGGGCGUAAAGGGCUUGUAGGCGGUUUGUCGCGUCUGCCGUGAAAUCCUCUGGCUUAACUGGGGGCGUGCGGUGGGUACGGGCAGACUUGAGUGCGGUAGGGGAGACUGGAACUCCUGGUGUAGCGGUGGAAUGCGCAGAUAUCAGGAAGAACACCGGUGGCGAAGGCGGGUCUCUGGGCCGUUACUGACGCUGAGGAGCGAAAGCGUGGGGAGCGAACA